GAGUCAGAUCUUCAAAAAUCAGUGCAAAUGACCACAAAACAUUUCCCCAAUAGGUUUUUUUCUGCUAUGUUGGUAGCAUAGCAUUCAGCCUACUGGGAACAUUU
rnacentral:snoRNA from 1 species